AUUGAACGCUGGCGGCAGGCCUAACACAUGCAAGUCGAGCGGAGCGGCGGAAGGGUGGUUAACGCCUAGUAAUUUGCCUGGUAGUUGGGGAUAAAUCCCGGAAACGGGCGCUAAUCACGCAUACUUGCAGAUGAGACUAGGUCGGAUUAGCGAGUUGGUGGGGUAAAGGCCUACCAAGGUGACGAAGCGUAAGUGGACUGAGAGGAUGAUCGGUCACACUGGAACUGAGACACGGGCCAGACUCCUACGGGAGGCAGCAGUGGGGAAUAUUGGACAAUGGGCGAAAGCCUGACCGAGCCAUGCCGCGUGUGGGAAGAAGGUUUUCGGAUUGUAAAGCACUGUAAGUGGGGAGGCGUUACCAACAGAGGAAGCACCGGCUAACUACGUGCCAGCAGCCGAGGUAAUAC
rnacentral:rRNA from 1 species